GAUGAACGCUGGCGGCGUGCCUAAUACAUGCAAGUCGAGCGGUAAGGCCUCUUCGGAGGUACACGAGCGGCGGACGGCUGAGUAACACGUAGGAACGUACCCCAAACUGAGGGAUAACUCUGGGAAACCAGAGCUAAUACCGCAUGUGCUCCAAGGAGUAAAGCUUCGGCGGUUUGGGAACGGCCUGCGCAUGAUUAGCUUGUUGGUGAGGUAAUGGCUCACCAAGGCGACGAUCAUUAGCUGGUCUGAGAGGAUGAUCAGCCAGACUGGGACUGAGACACGGCCCAGACUCCUACGGGAGGCAGCAGUAGGGAAUUUUCCACAAUGGACGAAAGUCUGAUGGAGCAACGCCGCGUGCAGGAUGAAGGCCCUUGGGUCGUAAACUGCUUUUAUAUGUGAAGAUUAUGACGGUAGCAUAUGAAUAAGGAUCGGCUAACUCCGUGCCAGCAGCCGCC
rnacentral:rRNA from 1 species